rnacentral:snRNA from 1 species
CUCCCAUUUCGCUCGCCG